UACAGAGGUCUCAAGCGUUUGUUCGGAUUCAUUGGGCGUAAAGGGUGCGUAGGCGGCGCGGUAAGUCGGGUGUGAAAUCUCGGAGCUUAACUCCGAAACUGCAUUCGAUACUGCCGUGCUUGAGGACUGGAGAGGAGACUGGAAUUUACGGUGUAGCGGUGAAAUGCGUAGAUAUCGUAAGGAAGACCAGUGGCGAAGGCGGGUCUCUGGACAGU
rnacentral:rRNA from 1 species